CCGGCCAUAUCAUAAAACACCGGUUCGCUUACGAUCACAGAAGUUGAGCAACGUCGAACCUGAUCAGUACCUAAAUGGGUGACUGCUUGGGAAUACCAGGUGCUGUAAG